GAUGAACGCUGGCGGCGUGCCUAAUACAUGCAAGUCGAGCGAACAGAUGAGGAGCUUGCUCCUCUGACGUUAGCGGCGGACGGGUGAGUAACACGUGGAUAACCUACCUAUAAGACUGGGAUAACUUCGGGAAACCGGAGCUAAUACCGGAUAAUAUAUUGAACCGCAUGGUUCAAUAGUGAAAGACGGUUUUGCUGUCACUUAUAGAUGGAUCCGCGCCGCAUUAGCUAGUUGGUAAGGUAACGGCUUACCAAGGCAACGAUGCGUAGCCGACCUGAGAGGGUGAUCGGCCACACUGGAACUGAGACACGGUCCAGACUCCUACGGGAGGCAGCAGUAGGGAAUCUUCCGCAAUGGGCGAAAGCCUGACGGAGCAACGCCGGGUGAGUGAAGAAGGUCUUCGGAUCGUAAAACUCUGUUAUUAGGGAAGAACAAAUGUGUAAGUAACUAUGCACGUCUUGACGGUACCUAAUCAGAAAGCCACGGCUAACUACGUG
rnacentral:rRNA from 1 species